UACGUAGGGUGCAAGCGUUAAUCGGAAUUACUGGGCGUAAAGCGUGCGCAGGCGGUCUUGCAAGACAGAUGUGAGAUCCCCGGGCUUAACCUGGGAACUGCAUUUGUGACUGCAAGGCUGGAGCGCGGCAGAGGGGGAUGGAAUUCCGCGUGUAGCAGUGAAAUGCGUAGAUAUGCGGAGGAACACCGAUGGCGAAGGCAAUCCCCUGGGCCUGCACUGACGCUCAUGCACGAAAGCGUGGGGAGCAGACAGG
rnacentral:rRNA from 1 species